rnacentral:rRNA from 1 species
GAUGAACGCUGGCGGCGUGCCUAAUACAUGCAAGUCGAGCGAACAGACGAGGAUCUUGCUCCUCUGACGUUAGCGGCGGACGGGUGAGUAACACGUGGAUAACCUACCUAUAAGACUGGGAUAACUUCGGGAAACCGGAGCUAAUACCGGAUAAUAUAUUGAACCGCAUGGUUCAAUAGUGAAAGACGGUUUUGCUGUCACUUAUAGAUGGAUCCGCGCUGCAUUAGCUAGUUGGUAAGGUAACGGCAUACCAAGGCAACGAUGCGUAGCCGACCUGAGAGGGUGAUCGGCCACACUGGAACUGAGACACGGUCCAGACUCCUACGGGAGGCAGCAGUAGGGAAUCUUCCGCAAUGGGCGAAAGCCUGACGGAGCAACGCCGCGUGAGUGAUGAAGGUCUUCGGAUCGUAAAACUCUGUUAUUAGGGAAGAACAAAUGUGUAAGUAACUAUGCACGUCUUGACGGUACCUAAUCAGAAAGCAACGGCUAACUACGUG